UGAGGAAUAUUGGUCAAUGGGCGAGAGCCUGAACCAGCCAAGUAGCGUGCAGGAUGACGGCCCUAUGGGUUGUAAACUGCUUUUAUGCGGGGAUAACGUGCACCACGUGUGGUGUAUUGCAGGUACCGCAUGAAUAAGGACCGGCUAAUUCCGUGCCAGCAGCCGCGGUAAUACGGAAGGUCCGGGCGUUAUCCGGAUUUAUUGGGUUUAAAGGGUGCGCAGGCGGGCGUCUAAGUCAGCGGUGAAAGUUCCCGGCUCAACCGGGUCAGUGCCGAUGAUACUGGGGGCCUUGAAUGCGGUCGAGGCCGGCGGAAUGUGGCGUGUAGCGGUGAAAUGCAUAGAUAUGCCACAGAACACCGAUAGCGAAGGCAGCUGGCCGGGCCUGCAUUGACGCUGAGGCACGAAAGCGUGGGGAUCGAACAGGAUUAGAUACCCUGGUAGU
rnacentral:rRNA from 1 species